CUCCACUUGCUCACUCACUCACUCACUCACUGCUGGCCUGGUCUGGUAGUGGUCGCCAUCGCCGGAGCGCCCUCCGACCUUAAUUUAAUACGCUACUGUAGUAUAAUUAAGAGCGUAACGUAGUAGCCAACUACUAGAUCAGGACGUAGCCUGCAUCAAAAUUGGGCAUCAACCGCCACGAUUGAGCGAGGAGGCAAGGAUUAAUAGCCUUUCUUUUUUCUUUUCCUUUUUCUUUGUGUAGUGCGGACGUGCGGUCCGCGAGAAACCGCGACAGCGCGAGACAUUCGCCGGAAGGAAUAAACCCCGGCCGGGGCGGCGCGGCGCACACAUGGUGACACGUGCAUUCGCCGCGGACUCCGGCCACGACGACCAGGGUCGCGGGUCGCCUCGCCUCUAGGGAUGGCAGUGGGUACGGAUAUGGGUAAAUAACCGCGGUUAUUUACCCGUUGGGUACGGAUAUGGUGAAGUUUCAUAUCCGCGGGUACGGGUAUGGAUACUAUAUGGUAUCCACGGGUAAUAAUUUCGCGGGUAUGGAUAUCUGCUAUCCAUAUCCGUUACCCGGUGGACAUAUGUCAUGUGGACCCAAACAUCUAAUGGACGCAUCCCAGGUCCCAGCGGCCAGCAUCCUUGGGCUUGUUCACUGCUUCACGGAUGGAGUCUGGAUCAGCGCCUCAACACUUCAGCAGCAAGGCCGCAUUGCCACAAGGCCAGCAGACAGCAGUCCAAGCGGCCCAAGACUGCUCACGGACGGAGUCUUAGAGUCUCGGGCUGCAGGCAUCCACCUCCACCAGGCGCUGGCCCAGUUUUCGCCAUCCACCAGGCGUCCUUAGAAUAUGGUGCAGGGCUACCGAGCAGCGAGCAACAAGCUGCCGAGCACAGGGCGCCGACCGUCGAGCAGCGAGCACCGAGGACCGCCGAGUAGUCGAGCACCGAGCAGCUAGCACCGAGCAGCCGAGCAGCAAGCAGAGGGCUGCGACCACCGAGCAGCCGAGCCGCCUCGUCUUCUCUCGUCUUCUCUAGUAAAUUAAACAGGCUUGGAUGAAUUAGUUUUUUGAUUUAGAGUUUUGGAGAGAUUAUUUGUACGGAUUUGAAAAGAUUACUUGUAUGGAACGUUGAAAUUAUUGUUUGGUGCUAAAAAAUAUUAUUGGAAUGUUGUUGGAAUGUUAAUUUGUGAUAAAUUUCUGCUAGAAUGAUGCUGUAAUUUUA